UACGUAGGGGGCUAGCGUUGUCCGGAUUUAUUGGGCGUAAAGAGCGUGUAGGCGGCCAUGUAGGUCCGGUGUGAAAACUCGAGGCUUAACCUCGAGAUGUCAUCGGAAACCAUUUGGCUAGAGUCCGGAAGAGGAGAGUGGAAUUCCUGGUGUAGCGGUGAAAUGCGCAGAUAUCAGGAGGAACACCGAUGGCGAAGGCAGGUCUCUGGGCCAUAACUGACGCUGAGAAGCGAAAGCAUGGGGAGCGAACAGG
rnacentral:rRNA from 1 species